rnacentral:rRNA from 1 species
GACGAACGCUGGCGGCGUGCUUAACACAUGCCAGUCGAACGGACAGGCCCUGCUUUUGUUGGGUUCUCGAUUGGCGAACGGGUGAGUAACACGUGAGUAACCUGCCCUUGACUUUGUGAUAACUUCACGAAACUGGGGCUAAUACCGCAUAUGAGCUCCUGCUGCAUGGUGUUGGUUGGAAAGUUUCGGCUGUUGUGGAUGGACUCGCGGCUUAUCAGCUUGUUGGUGUGGUAGUGGCUUACCAAGGCUUUGACGGGUAGCCGGCCUGAGAGGGUGACAGGCUACAGAGGGACUGGGAUACGGGCAAGACGGCAACGGGAGGCAGGAGUGGAAAACAGUGGAAAAAGGGCGGAAGCAGGAAGGAGCAACGUCGCGUGGGGGAAGACGGUUUUUGGGGAGGAACAAGUGUGUGCGUGAGACGAAGCGUGAUGAAGGGAAAUGGGCAAAGAAGCACGGCUAAAUUAGGG